AGAAGACUAGUUAAAUAAUAACACCAGACUGUCGGACUGGAAUUACUAGCCUAACGCCCUAGUGUCUUCU
rnacentral:tRNA from 1 species